GGCCCAAAUUUGAAGUAGAGUAGACUGGAAGGAUCAUCUGACCUUACUAAACUACUCUUCUUCGAGUUUAUGCCC
rfam:Haemonchus placei strain MHpl1 genome assembly, scaffold: HPLM_scaffold0002365